GGGUGCGAUCAUACCAACGUUAAUGCACCGGAUCCCAUCAGAACUCCGCAGUUAUGCUCGCUUGGGCUAGAGUAGUACUGGGAUGGGUGACCUCCCGGGAAGUCCUAGUGUUGCACCCU
rnacentral:rRNA from 1 species